CAUACCCAUACCCAUUCCGAUUUUGCUUGAGUGAUUCAGAAAUUGUUGAUGCUAAGCCUCUUGUGCUUUCAAGAGGAACAUUGCAGACUGCUGAUUCAAAGGAACCAUUUGCAAGGUUACAUCUCUUGCAAUUUUGUCAUCUAUAACACGUAGAUACUUCUGGUGAUGACAUGUACUUUAAGUAGUUUUCAUUCUUAACUUAUGUGAUCUAGAUUUCAUAUAGUAGUUAAUCCAUUCAGAAACUUAUUAUGUUGCUAUAAUUUUGAAGAAUCUAUUAAAUUCUAGUAUUACUUUUCUUUUAAGAAAUUAUGGGAAAGAGCUUAUCAGAUAAUUAAAAAUUAUGCAAUCCGUAUGUUUAUGGCAUGGGGUCUUACUAAAGUGUAGCCAAGUGGUGGCGGAAUAUUGUAUUUCAAUAAUACUUCCAGUUAGUGGGAAUGAAUAAUUGGAGAGUACAUCUGUUCCAUGAAAGAAUAAUCACAAUAGCCUGCAAGAUCUCUUAGUUGGGAUUUUUUGUUGUUGUUCUAGUAUGGUAUUAAAAUAUGCAUAAACUUUAAUGAUCAAGGAAAACUCUAACUUUUCCUCUACUCCUACAUUUUAGUUUACACAAAAAUUUUGGCCAUUCAUUAUAUUAUUGAAUUGCAAUGUAAAUUUAAUUUCAAAGCUGAAAGAAGUCACUGGAACACCAUUGUUAAUUCCUUUUUAAAUUCUAAAGUAUCAUCUUUUAUAAAUAUUUAUUUAAGUUUCUAAUGGUUGUACCACUGGGAAAAAACAGCUCAUUUUUUCUAAUAGACUUUUUCUUUUUCUUUUUUCGUUUCACUUCAUUCAGUGAGAGUCUUUUAUAAACUAUGUGCUAAAAUUGCUUGACUCACCCCAUCUAAGUUUUACAUAUUGUACCAUGCUUGGAAAACUUACUCAAAGUGAAGACAUGCCUCUUGGUUGAUAAAUCUCUUUAGGCUAUUUUUGUGGCUUCAAUAUUUGGCAAAUGGCACAUCAGUCAUGAUCAAUGUUACAAUAUAUAACAGCUAAAAGAUGGUGGUUUUAUAACUUACAAACCUAAUGUCCACAUUUUUGGGGGGAUCCUCCAAAGAUGAGGUGGAUCUUGUAAUGUUUGUAACUUUAUAUGAUUUCAAUUGAUCUUGUAAUGUUUGUAUGCAUCACAUUAUUAAAUGGGCUUUUGAGUUGAUAGGUCAAAAUGCUUGUGUGAAGGGGGUUUGAAACAUUGAACAUUUGGCUUAAUGCAUAUAAAAGCAGAAAUAUGUGUCAUCUAAAUUUUUAUUAUUAAAUGGCCUUUUUCAUUUUGUUAGUUUCAAUAAAUACUAUAAUUUUAAAAACUUUUAUUGGACCUCAAGGCUCAGGCUUGAUGCAAUGUGCAUGUAGGAACAAGCCUUUUUGAACUCAUGUUCUUUUUACACAAAAGUGUCUGGAAUUUUGCUUAGCUUCUUACCCAAUUCCCUUUCAAAUAGAAGGUAUGUUUGAUAGAAGAUAUUGCUUUUGUUCUUAUGUUGGUUCAGUUUUUCAAAUAGAAGGUAUGUUUAAUAGAAGAUAAUGCUUUUGUUCUUAUGUUAGUUCAGUUUCAUGACUAAGUAUAUGGACCACUUGAAGUUUGUCAGUGUAUUUGCUAAAAAAAUGUAGAGCUUUUGACUUGAUGGUAUGGAUUUUUAAGAAAUUUUUCUUUGUGGAUUUUUUUCCCUUUCUGAUGUACAUUAUGCAUUUGAUUUUUCUUUUUGUAGAAAAUGAGUUGGAGCAGCCUAACCUUGAAAAAGGUCUAAAGACGGGUACAAGUGUUGUUCAAGAAAUCAAGUGCAAGCUUUAUGCGAAGUUCCAUGCACUAAUUUUUGCCCAUUUGUUUAGAAGAAAAGGUUUUGAAGUAUCCCAUGACUGAUUGAAAAAAAAUGUAUCUUGAAGUUAGCAAUGCAAAAUUCGCUAAUCUUCAGUUUAACUAUUGAUUGAGAUUUGAUAUAAUCUAGCUUGUAGGGCAACUUAGACAUUUAUUUGCGAAGUUUGUAGCAAAUUUUUGAUAUCUUUUGUAAUUGGCUUAGAAGA